GUGGGGAAUCUUGCGCAAUGGGCGAAAGCCUGACGCAGCCAUGCCGCGGGAAUGAUGAAGGUCUUAGGAUUGCAAAAUUCUUUCACCGGGGACGAUAAUGACGGUACCCGGAGAAGAAGCCCCGGCUAACUUCGUGCCAGCAGACGCGGUAAUACGAAGGGGGCUAGCGUUGCUCGGAAUUACUGGGCGUAAAGGGCGCGUAGGCGGACAGUUUAGUCAGAGGUGAAAGCCCAGGGCUCAACCUUGGAAUUGCCUUUGAUACUGGCUGUCUGGAGUACGGGAGAGGUGAGUGGAACUCCGAGUGUAGAGGUGAAAUUCGUAGAUAUUCGGAAGAACACCAGUGGCGAAGGCGACUCACUGGCCCGUUACUGACGCUGAGGCGCGAAAGCGUGGGGAGCAAACAGGAUUAGAAACCCGGGUAGUCC
rnacentral:rRNA from 1 species